rnacentral:rRNA from 1 species
GAUGAACGCUGGCGGCGUGCCUAACACAUGCAAGUCGAGCGAACAGACGAGGAGCUUGCUCCUCUGACGUUAGCGGCGGACGGAUGAGUAACAUGUGGAUAACCUACCUAUAAGACUGGGAUAAUCACGGGAAACCGGAGCUAAUACCGGAUAAUAUAUUGAACCGCAUGGUUCAAUAGUGAAAGACGGUUUUGCUGUCACUUAUAGAUGGAUCCGCGCCGCAUUAGCUAGUUGGUAAGGUAACGGCUUACCAAGGCUACGAUGCGUAGCCGACCUGAGAGGGUGGUCGGCCACACUGGAGCGGAGACACGGUCCAGACUCCUGCGGGAGGCAGCAGUAGGGAAUCUUCCGCAAUGGGCGAGAGCUUGACAGAGCAACGCCGCGUGAGUUAUGAAGGUCUUCGGAUCGUAAAGCUCUGUUAUUAGGGGAGAACAAAUGUGUAAGUAACUGUGCACGUCUUGACGGUACCUGGUCAGAAAGCCACGGCUAACUACGUG